GACGAACGCUGGCGGCGUGCUUAACACAUGCAAGUCGAGCGGUAAGGCCCUUUCGGGGGUACGACGAGCGGCGAACGGGUGAGUAACACGUGGGUGACCUGCCCUCAGCUCUGGGAUAAGCCUGGGAAACCGGGUACUAAUACCGGAUAUGACUCCAUGACGCAUGUUGUGGGGUGGAAAGCCUUGUGCGGCUGAGGAUGGGCCCGCGGCCUAUCAGCUUGUUGGUGGGGUGANGGCCUACCAAGGCGACGACGGGUA
rnacentral:rRNA from 1 species